GCUGCAGGGGAGGGAGGGCUAAGGCUGAACGACAUCCUUCUGUGAAGUCCUUGUUCAAAGGGAGGCUAGAAAUAUAUCUAAAGAGAUGUUAAGAUGUCACACUGGGCAACCUUGAACCCGUUGCAGUGUAAAGAAAAAGCACAUUCAAGGAGAAAAUAGAGGCACUUGGUCAGGGACUGGAAGAAGUUGGAAGCAUUCAUCCAUUUUCCUCCCUGGAAUUGAAGGAAGGCUGGAGCAGUUACUGGCUGGCUCGGGAGAUGGACAUGGACUAGAUGGAGUGAGAAUAACUUGGGCAACCAAACACAGAUGGAACCAGACUAAGGCUGAAGGCAGAGUCAUACUAUGGAGACCAGGUCCAUGAAGAAUUUCUAAAGGAAGAAACUGGGCCACAGAGUGAUCCAUAUGGCUACCUAUGCAAGAUCAUAGAGAUUAACAGCAGCAGAGAUGCGAUUUGAGUUGUGGAUUCUGGAGUCAAUCCUUGCCGCUACCAUUGGAAGCUUGCUCUGCUUUCCAAGUCAUUCUUUGUUUAGCUUCCUUGGGAAGGUGGUCUGAACCACUGGGUUCUGAGUGAGUGAGUUUAUUAAGUAUAUAGCAAGCAAAAGUAAAAGGAUCAAUAGUGAGUCGUGGAUAGAGAAGCUGUUAAUAGCAAAACAGACAUCUAAGCAUGCACUCACAAUUGCCCAACAGAAACCAACUCUGGAAGCUGAGGCGGUCAGCUGUAGCUCCCCAUUGAGGUUCUCUGCCCUUUCCAUUCAUAAUCUUCCCAUGGCUUAUACACCCUACUUUCUGUUUUAAUUCUGUGCAUUUUUCAAUCACGAGAUAAACUAUUUUAACAUCUGUUUACUUCUAGCUGUUUUCAAGGACACAGUGAUUCUGCUCUUGGACUGGUUUCUUGUCCUUGUCUCUCCCCAUCGUAUAGUUAAUAGAUCCAGCCUCUUCACAGCAAAAAAGUAUUGAAGGACAGCUAAAAUAGAUGUGCUGGAGUCUGUUACAUGGUGUUUUACUGUUAUAAUGUGCAUUUCAGAAAGGAACCUAAAGUAAUUGACACUUAUUUCUUUCUCUUCUGUUGUUGUUGUUGUUGUAUUAUUAUUAUUAUUAAAAUUCACUGUAUCCUGUUGUGGA